rnacentral:lncRNA from 1 species
CAGUGGCGCAAUCUUGGCUCACUGCAACCUCUGCCUCCCAGGUUCAGGCAAUUCUUGUGCCUCAGCCUCCCCGGUAGCUGGGAUUACAGGCGUGCACCACCACACCUGGCUAAUUUUUGUAUUUUAGUAGAGACGGGGUUUCACCAUGUUGGCCAGGCUGGUCUCGAAGUUCUGACCUUGUGAUCCACCCACCUUGGCCUCCCAAAGUGCUGGGAUUACACGCGUGAGCCACCGCGCCUGGCCCCCAAGAAUCACACUUUUGUUAUUU